rnacentral:lncRNA from 1 species
UUUUUUUUUUUUUUUUUUUUUUUUUUUUUUUCCCAUGAUAGCAAUGCAGGAUGGCUCAAUGAGCCUUUUGUCCCAGGAGUAAUCUUUCCCACCCCUCUAACAUCUGAUUUCUACACCAGAUGCAGCGUUGCAAAGCUCAGCAGCACAGACAGCUCAGUCCUGCUGGUGUAAGUUGGCUGUUGCAUCGCCAGGACCAAACUGUGCGGUGCCUCCAGGGCCUCACAGUGAGAGUGGUGUGGCUGUGGGAUGGUCAGAGUGGCUCUCCCAGCCUGCAAGGAAGGAUAUUUCCGUGGUGAGUUAUGAAGGGAACAGCCAGGAAUGCGACAGAGCCGUGCUGCUGUUUGCAGAUGUGGAGGAGCAUCUUCCCUGAGCUGCCCUGUCCCUCCCUGCCUGUCACCAUGCUGGCCCUGCCCAGGCUCUCGGUAGUGGUGCUGAUGGAUGCAUAAAGCAGCAAUUUGCUCUUCACCCCCCUGAAAGGCAGGGGAUGAGCUGCAGCAGUGGGUCCCUCAGGGGAUGUGGGGUUGUUGCAGUGCAGCAGCCUUUGCAGCCUCUCUCCUCUGCUCUGGAGGUCACUGAAGUGCACUGUGAUGUGCUUUGGAGCUUGUUUGUAAACUGCUGGAUGCUGCUGAGACGUGGGCUGGUGUUCCAGGAACUGGCCAGCUGCUACGUGCUGCAUUUGUGUGCAGUCACUGCUGCUGCUGGAUGUGGGGAAUGGCCUCUGCUUGUUGCUCUCCUGUGGCUGGGUUGUUUUUUUCCCCUGGACCCUAUUUCCUUCCCUCAGAAAAAGUGAAAGCAGUCUGCAAGGUCUGCUUGUCUUGUGAGAGCUAAUUAAGAAUUCAUUAAGUUCCUGGAAUUAAAAUCUGUAUCUAAUAAGCCACUGAGGACACUGUGCCAGGGUUUGGGACUGAGUGCAGACAGUGCUGACAGAUAAUACUCCAAGUCACAGGGUACCUUUUGAAGAACACGAGAUGUGGAUUGGAGCAUGUUCUGUGGCUCUCUGAGGUUUGUGUCCUGCUCAGAUUUUGUGGCUGAUGCCUCUGCAUACUCUGGAAUUGGCAUCUGAUGGGCUCUGAGAGGCCAGUGUAAGUGGUGGCUGCAAUUUUGGGCUUUAGUACUUCCUGAGCCUGGAGUGACCCAGGCUGCUGCUGACAAGGGGUGAGGAUUGACUGGGGCUGGCAGGGAGUACCAGUGAGGUGAUUUCAGCUGGGCUGAGCUUAUCUCCAUGUCCUGUGGCAGGAGCCUUGUACAUGCAUUAACUGGCAGAGUAGCUCAGCACGCCAGCAGUGAGGAGCAGCUGACAGACCUGCCCGAGCUGUGAGCUUCCCAAAGCUGGGCUGUGGCUGCCUGCCCUCCUUGGUGUUUCCAGGUGUGUGGUGGAGCUCAUACCCACGGCUUACCCUGCCAAGUCACGAGUCAGACACCAGCUGCUGUCAGCCAAAGCUGUGUGAUGCCUGCAGAGUAGAAGUGAGUAAGUGUCUGGUACCAGGCUGCAGUCACUGGGUUCCUCUGCUGGUGGCCUUUGCAGAAUGAGCUCAUGUCAAGGUGUUGACUCACUUUCAGUUGCUGCACUGCUCUGGGAAACAAAGAAAUCUUCCCUUGAGUUGCUCCAUGUGAGUAACUGCUACAGCUGUCUCUGUUUCCAUGAAUAAUUGCUGGGGGAAGAGUGCACUUGUCCUUAACAAAGAUAGGAUGUGGGCUACAGGUAAUGGCCAAAUACUCUCUGCUGAGUGUGAGAAAACAUAGCUAAAAAAUAAUCAUUUCCAAGCACAUGGUGGGGAAAAUGUGCCGCUGUUAAGGGUGUUUUCCCAGGGACUGCUAAAACAUCCAUUCCCUUUUAACUCUGUACUGCUCUGCCCUUAAUGGUGAUGCUUUGGAAACUCCUGGGGUAAAGUAAAUUGAUCUGUGGCACUGGUCAGAAAACUCUCUUGCAGACUAAGUGGUUUUUACAGCCAAAAGAAAAAUCCUCCUGGGUGUUAAUUUGGUACAGGAACUGCUUUUAUCUGUAGCUCUGGGGUGGCAUGAGCUGCCUGAACUCUGGAGCGUUUAAGGGAAGGAGAUACAAAAAAAAUUCCCUGGUAAGAUUGGUUUGGUGUGGGGGCAGUGGGGAAGGCACUGACAGAACCCUGAGCUGCAGCAUGAGCCCUGUCCUGCUCCCAGGGAAACUGAGUCAGCCUGGGGGCUGCAGGCUGCCCUGGCAGAGCCCUUCAGGGCUUUAGGAACCUUUAUCUCUUUAGGAAAGAGGAGAGGGAAGGUGUCCUGGAGCACAGGAGGAGUGUUGCAGGUCAGAUUCAGAGCCUUUUGGGUUAGCAUCUUUUUCUCAUUUAGUAGAGAAACAGCCACAUGGCUUUGCCUUAGGUAUUUUCCUUAAUGCUGGAGGGUUUUGUCCACUGAUAUUUCCUUGUCUCAUGGCUUUGUGAGUUUUUUCUGUUCUAGAACAUGGGAGGACAGACUUCAAGUGAAGCGGUGCUGCUGUAUAACAGUAAAACUUCCCCUGGGAGGAGAGAGUGACACAUUUCUUUGUUCUCUUACAAAGCUUUCUCUUUAAGGAAAAACUUUUUAGUUAAACUAACAAACAAAAGGACCCCAACAACCAGCACCAUCUGCCAGAUACCAAAGUGAGAGCAAUGGAGAGCUUUGGGGCAGAAGGUGGUGAUGUCUGAAUGGAGUUACCAAACAUGGGCUUUUUCUUUUAGCCGGGAAGGGGAAUUUGAUGAAGCCUCUAAGUCAGAGCAGCUGUGUGGAUGCUCAAACUGCUUUCUUUGGAGAGCUGGUAUGUUAUCAAGUCAGGAAUCUGUCCUGAGGAGAUCCCAGAUGGGGCCUUGACACCAUAAAUGUACAAAGGCACUCAGUUGCACAAAAACUGCAGAAACAACUUCGUCCUGAAGAACGUGAGCCACAGAUGGUGAACUGCCAAGAAAAGCAAGCAAGGGGUAAGGCCGGGCUGCUCUCUACAUGAGAAGGCUACACUGGUCUCAGAUGUUUAGAAAUUCUUGGUUUCAACUUCUGCAGGCUUCUCCGUGGAUAAAUUCUGGUUUGAAUGGCCUCUUGUAAAUUCAAAUCUGCUUAAUGCAGAGAUGUGAAAAAUGCCUGCACCCUAGCUGUAGUGUCUGGAGGUUAGUAGCAGGCCCUGGAGUUUGCCAAAGUGUGGUUCUUGCCCUGAUGCCCUAAUUCAUUGCUGGGUGGCACCUCAGGCUCCCUGGCUCUGUGCUGCAGGGAGGGCAGCAUUGCUGCUCAGGGAGAGCAGAGCAAGAAUGACCCUUGAAAUGCUUCCCCACAGCAGCCUGUGCUCCUUCCUGCUGGGUGUGAGGGGUGCAUGGGCUGUGCUGAGCUGGCAGCAGCCCCACAUGGAGGAUCCCCUGUGCUAUUCAGUCACCCUGUGCUAUUUUGAGGCUAAACCAGUCAUGGUUGCAUGUGGACAGUGAGGGAGGGCUUGCUUUGUCCCACACUAAUCCCAGGGCAGUCAUGCAUUGGGGCUUGAAGGUUCUGGAGGUGCCCAUGGAGAGAAAUGCUCAGCACGGUGUGAGCAGCUGGUGAGGGUGAGCUGAGCUGGGAGGGCUCCUGUCUGUGUCCCAGCUCCUGGAAGCUCCAACAGCUGCAGAAUAAACCUGCUGACCCCUGUGCUGAGAAGGGCUGUGGACAAAGCCCCCUGUGUAUUUAAGGUAGGAGAAUGGGGUUUGGGUUUAGGGUCACUCAGGUGGAGAGGAAGGUGUUAGAACCAGCCCUUCCUCAGAGGCAUGUGCUCCUAUGUUACUUGGAUUGGGCUGACUUCAAACUUGGCAAAAGCACCAACUGAUCCUCAGUCUAGACUGGCUUUGAAAGAAUCCCUGGCCUCAUGGGAAUCUCCCUUUCAAGGUGCAAAGCAGAAGGCACAGCAGGGAUUGUAUUGGCAUAAAACCCUUCCCAACAGGAAAACGUUCCGUGUGCUCUUAAAUCUUGUUUUGGCACAUUUGAGAGGACCACAGAAGGAGUCUGUGCAGAAAUGGUGACUGACCCAGGCUUGUGGUGCCAGAGGUGUCAAGUGGAGGCCCUGGGGCCCAGGUGGGCAGGGCAGGGUGGCAGCAGGGACAAGGUGGCUUUGCAGGGCCCUCCGUGGACCCCUGUUUUACCUGACAGAAGAGCUGGGCAGUCCAGUGAUCUGUGCUCAGAUGGAUUUCUCUAGACUGAACAGCUCCACAGGCAGCCCUGCCCAGUCCUGGCUGGGAUCUCCAAGGGAUUGGUGUUACCUGGAGGGGGUUCAGUCCCCUUCCACUGAACGUCAGCAGUAGCAGUGUGAUGAGCUGACUGCAGGAAUCAAACCACAAGGUGAGUUUAGUCUGCUGUGAGGUUUUAGUGGAGGGAAAGGCUGCUGGAUGUGGUGGCUUCGUUUGAUGUUCCAGACAUUGGAUAUUGCAGACAGUUUAAUCUGUCCCGUGUUUGGGAGGUUGUGGUGCACUGGGUGGUGGGUGGCAGUGGCUUUCCCAUUGCUUUCAAAGCCGUGUUUGCACACAGCAAAUCUUGGCCAAGCCAUCCAGCCUCCUCCGAAGGAGGAAUCAGAACUUCAGCAGCAGCCAAGAAACAGCUGAACACGCUUUGAGACUGAGCAGCCCCAAAAAGACAGAAACCCACACACUGGAGACAGCAUAGCUGCCUUAUCUCUACUAUUCUUGAUCUCUAAACUUUGAAAAAGCAAGGCAGCUUCUCUUUUCUGCUGGUUCCUGAGCGUGUCGAGUGCAUCUUGCUUAAGAACAGAUCCCCUGACUGCUUCUACAAGGCUUCUUCGUCUCUAUUUCCCAACUUCUAUUCAUCUGUCUCAAACCUGGUUUUCUGGCUGGAAACUUUCCAUUGAUGUCACGGGAGCUUUCCGUGGCCCACAUCAAACAGCUGGGUUCACCAGGAAUUAAGUGACUCUACAAAUGUUUAUGUUCAGCUCUUAUUUGGAAGGCAUGCUGCCUUGUGAGGACCUGUGGUGGCUGUGGUAUGCAGGGAGGAUAGGUUGGCUGUACAGCUUUUGUCCUGCCUUUGAAGGCUGGAAGUGCUGGCAGCUGCUCAGUGCCUCGAUAAGGCUCAGGAGUGUGUUUCAUCCCUGCCUCCUGCCCUGGUUCUUGUCUCCAGCUCUGGAGAGGUUUCUCAGUGGGUCACCUUCAUGUCACCCAGAUGGCCAAGUCUGGACAGUGACAGCAGAAAGCUGUUGGCCUGAGUACAGGUAUGGAAUUUUGUUGUUUGAGAGGGGAAAGCCACAGUUUAGUCUGCUGAGGAGCCCCAGGGAGGGGAGGAAGGAAGGACACGUGUGUUCUUCAGACCCUGCUUACUCAGGCUUCUGUGGUGGUGUCAGAGCGUUUGGAAGGGGGGAACAGAAGGGAUAAAAACCACCUUAGCAUUCCCUGUCACCUCCAAAGAGCUCAGUGCUGAGCAGUGGCUGCCUGUUCCUCCCUGCAGGAUGUGUGCCCUGAGCUGCAGCUGAGUCUUGGCACACUGGAGGUGCUGAGGAAGCCACUUGAAAUAUCACUUGAUUUACAGAGCUCAAGCUUGUGAAGCUGUUGCUUAGGAGUGAAUUUCUGAGUGUGUCCCGGACUAAAAUUAACAGCCCUUUGAUGCAGAGGAAGAAACUGUAUUUCAAAGCAAAGUACCUAGUUAACUUUGAUAAUAAAACUGCUGGUUUUAUCUUGGAGGUAAUUCCGUGUUCCUUGGAAACAAAUCUGAGAGCUGGAAGCUCCUGAACCCUGCUUGCUGUGGGUGAACAUGCUGAUCCCUCCUCACCUGGGAGCCCCGGGUUCCUGCAUGUUCCUGUGAAGCUGUCAGGGGGUGCCAACCACAGAGCCCGAGGUGUGGAGGGAUGGGGAGCACAGCCCUUCAGUGGCACUGAAGCAAUCUGUGUCAGACAGAAUUGUUCCUUCCUGCCUUCAAAGCUCCAACGUGAGGUCCGUGUGAGUGUCCAGCUUUGGGCUUUCAUCUUUUCCACUCGGAAAGAGGAGCCCUGUUCCUGCAGUGCUUCCCAGAGGUGAUGUGAGGGCUGCUCCCAAGGGGCAGCUGGAAGCCUCAGAGGGAGGAGAUUGUGAAUGCAGGCCAACCCAGUGGGAAGAAAUGAUGGUGUCUGACUCAAUUCAGAAGGCUGAAUGGUUUCUUUACUAUAACUAUGCUAAAAUACAUUAAUAUACUGUUUAAAAGGAG